AGAAGGUCCACUUGUUCAGUAUCUGUAUCUUGGUCUAUCUGGGGUUAGAUAAUAUCUCUCAGAAUGUUUGUUCUGUGUUUCCUGAUCCAAUACUUGCUUCUUUCCCAUAAUUCUCUAUGUUACCAGCUGCCUGAUCCGGUCAAUCUACCCAUAUUCUCUCUGUAAAGCGAUGCCACACUUUCAUAAACAUAGCUCUAUUAUUGCAAUAAAUAAAUAUCUAUAAC